rnacentral:rRNA from 1 species
GCUUGUCUCAAAGAUUAAGCCAUGCAUGUCUAAGUAUAAACAACUUUAUACUGUGAAACUGCGUACAGCUCAUUAUAUCAGUUAUAAUUUAUUUGAUGGUGAUUUACUACAUGGAUAACCGUGGUAAUUCUAGAGCUAAUACAUGCGUAAGAUCCUGACCUUUAUGGAAGGGAUGCAGUUAUUAGAUACAAAACCAACCCGGGCAACCGGUCCUUUGGUGAUUCAUGAUAACUUUGCGAAUCGCAUAGCUUUAAUGCUGGCGAUGGGUCAUUCAAAUUUCUGCCCUAUCAACUUUCGACGGUAGGAUAGAGGCCUACUGUGGUGAUAACGGGUAACGAAGAAUAAGGGUUCGAUUUCGGAGAGGGAGCCUGAGAAACGGCUACCACAUCCAAGGAAGGCAGCAGG